UGGCUCCGGGAGGAGAGCAGGUCCCGCCUUCACGGGUUGGGGACUGAGCUGAGGGUGCGGGGCUCUGUGUUGGGGGCUGACCGCCCUCCCGGGAGGUAGAGACAAGGGAACCCAGAUUCAGGGCGUCUGUGUGUGCUUUGGGCCUCGCUGCCCCGGCUGGCUCGUCGGCAAAGCCACAGGUCCCACCCGGCCCCAGGGAGUGUGGGUCCUGCUCCGGGGCUGUCCAGGAGCCACGUUGCUACUAAAGGCAGGGGUGCAGGAACUAAGACAUGUUACGCCUCUCUGAGCCCAGCUUCCGCCUCGGCGAUAUGGGGACGAGAAUGCUUCACCCACAGCAUCGCUGGGAACAUACAGGGAUACCGCCCUUCAUGCCAGUCGUCCAGCUCCUCUCAGGUGUCUGAAGGAGACCGGUUGUGAGGAUCAGUGUCUUGAUGGCCAGUGAAGCUCCUCCUCCAGGUUUUCACGGGCAGCAGUCCUCAGGAGAUCCCAAUACCUCAUAUCCAUGGUGGGAUACAACACCUGGCUAAAUGUGCUGUAUCCCCUGACACUCGCCUCUAGUGGUACAGCAGAGAAGAUGUGGACUCUGAGCCCCAGAAAUAGGAGCCGAUAGAGAAGACCCAAGUGUGAUGUCAAGUCUCCUAGACAGGUUCCUGGAGCAGGAGUGAAGACAAAGCAUCCCAUCAUUGCAACAGUUUAGCUAAGUCAGUACAGCUCUACAUGCCAGUGGCUGAGCUCAUAAAGUGUCUGAAGAAGUGGAUUCUGAGGAUCUGUGUCCUGGUGGCAGCUGAAGCUCCUCCUCCAGAUUCAAGGGCAGCAGUCUUCAGGAGACACCAGGAGGUCAUGUCUUUGGUGGGAUGUGAUGCCUGACUCAAGGAAUUUGGGGCUCCUAUGUCCAGAAUCUUCACUGAACUUAAACUACCUGAUAGUAACUGGCCUGUUGCUAGACUACUGCUUCCAUAACUUUAGGCAAUAAGCUAUUAUUGCACUAUAUAGAGAGCUCGGCCCAGCAUUCUCAGCAGAGGCAUAGAUGUGACUGCUCGACCUACCACUGUGAGAACAAGCUGGAUAAUAAACCCUUUCAUCACAAAGAA